GGCCUCUGCCCCGGUGUGCCAUCACCUCCAUGACACGGGGCCGGAACGAGGCCAAGAGCACCCUGCUCAGUGAGGGUGCUGCUCCCACGCAGACAUUCCCUAGGACGGCCUCCUCGUCCACCUCGGCCCUGCUCGGCCCGGGCCCUGCACUGCCAUGUGUGCUGUGGCCACAAGGACUGCGAGUCUCUGGUGGAGUGCGCCCCAACUGACAACUACUGUGUGAUCACGCAGGCCACGAACCCCGGUGGCAUCCUGGUCAUGAAGUCCUGCGCCCCCGUGUGCCCCAACAGCACCAUGUCCUCGGACGGCCGCACCCUCUCCGUCUCCUGCUGCCAGGGCAGCCAGUGUAACCGCGCGGCCGGGGGCCUGGCAGCCAG